rnacentral:rRNA from 1 species
UACGUAGGGUGCGAGCGUUGUCCGGAAUUACUGGGCGUAAAGCGCACGUAGGCGGCUUUGCAAGUUAGAGGUGAAAGCCCGGGGCUCAACUCCGGAAUUGCCUUUAAAACUGCAUCGCUAGAAUUGUGGAGAGGUAAGUGGAAUUCCGAGUGUAGAGGUGAAAUUCGUAGAUAUUCGGAAGAACACCAGUGGCGAAGGCGACUUACUGGACACAUAUUGACGCUGAGGUGCGAAAGCGUGGGGAGCAAACAGG